AUUACCUGGUCCUUGACCCCUAAUGGGCGCUACUCGGCCAGCUCCGCCUACAAGGUCCAGUUCCUUGCCUCUUUGCCCUGCCAGUUCGGGAACAUCGUGUGGAAGACCUGGGCCCCUCCAAAGUGUCGUUUCUUCGCUUGGCUCGCUGUCCAGAACCGCUUAUGGACCGCUGAUUGCUUGGCGAAACGCGGAUGGCCGUACCAACCUACUUGCCAGCUCUGCCGUCCCUCCCCUGAGACGGCACGACACAUGCUUUUCGAGUGCCGCUUCUCCAGAUGUAUCUGGACGGCCGCGGCCUCUUGGCUGUCUUGUCCAGACCUCAUCAGCAACAUCGGGGAGGGUAGGCCUAAAGUCGUGGACUAUUGGCUGGCCGUUUCGAAGUCCACCACCUCCUCCCCAAUAGGCUUGCGCUCAGCUAUCACGCUCAUCACUUGGGAGAUCUGGAAAGAGAGGAACGAAUGA
rnacentral:rRNA from 1 species